rnacentral:rRNA from 1 species
UACGUAGGGCGCAAGCGUUGUCCGGAAUUAUUGGGCGUAAAGAGCUCGUAGGCGGUUUGUCGCGUCUGCUGUGAAAUCCUCAGGCUCAACCUGGGGCUUGCAGUGGGUACGGGCAGACUAGAGUGCGGUAGGGGUGACUGGAAUUCCUGGUGUAGCGGUGGAAUGCGCAGAUAUCAAGGAGGAACACCGAUGGCGGAGGCAGGUCACAAAGCCAUUAUUGACGGCUGAGGCACG